AAUUUCUUUUUGUUUCCAGCUGAGCUACCAGGAUCAUCUGCAAUCAGGCUCUCCUCUUUGCGUGAUCUUCCAGCUCAGCUGCAAGAAUUAUACCAGCAGGGCUUCGUCUUGGCUGCUGUCCACCCCUUCGUGCAGCCAACUGAUGAAAAAGAGAAAACUCCCCAGGAACAAAUCUUCAGGGCUGUGCUUAUCAAGAAAACAGAAAGGUCUCCAAAAGGUGGCAUCCAUAGCGAAGGAUAUAUUUUGGAGGUAGAGUGCUGCUCCUCUGUAAACCAACUUUCAGACAAGAAGGAGAUACCUGAUUUUAUUAAGAAAGUGA